UUUAAGAGACAAUCCAAAGUGGUUUAUUAAGCAAGGUAGGAAUUGAGAAAUAAGGGAACUGUACAAUUAGGCCCAAAUAGGCAAUUUUCUACAGGUUUAUCCCCACAUGCUUCUAACUCUGGUCAAGUAUCCAUAAUUCCUAUCUUCGUAAAGUAGUCAGAUACGGACUACACACAAAAUCCACAUGCAAAGAAUCAAGAUGGGGAGGAGGGGAAUAUUGGAGCAGAAACUACAAAUGUAGUCCAUUACAGGAUGUUUUCUGCCAUUAUGUGGUACACUUGUUAUCUUAAGCCACCUCAAAAUGUGGCAUGAACACAUUUACUUCAGGGUUGUAAUACUGUUGAUAUACAGACUUUAGCGCCAUUAACUUGGCUUACCAAUUUACAACUAUUGGGCUAGAAGGAAAUAGACAAACUAGUGUUAAGUAAAUGCAGCAUUUAUACAUCAGUGGAGGGGGAAGAGGAAGAAGGGAAGAAAAAAAAAAAAAAAAAGUGUGCCUUGAUUCUGAAAAGGUAACUUGUUUGAGGAUAUAAAAUGGUACCUUCAACUGGCAAUCAUACUAUGUGCAAGUUUCCCCUUCUAUCACUAGGGGGAAAUAUGAACUUUGUAUGCCCCCAUUUAAAUGAACAUGUCAGUCAGCCCAAUGAUGUUACUUUUUAAAGUAAUGCUCUAUUCUAUAAGUACCUGGCUCAUGUCCAAAAACAUAAAACACACCUUUGCAUAUUUACAAAACACCAGGUGCUUACAUCGAUAUUUAAAGAAGUGUCUGCAGGUACAAAUAGUGUUGAUAUAUUAAAAUAAAAGUAAAG